rnacentral:rRNA from 1 species
GGAUGCGAUCAUACCAGCACUAAUGCACCGGAUCCCAUCAGAACUCCGAAGUCGAAGUUAAGCGUGCUUGGGCGAGAGUAGUACUAGGAUGGGUGACCCCCUGGGAAGUCCUCGUUUGCAUCCC